GAUGACUUGACUAAGUUGGUACAGGAACAGAAACCUAAAGGCAGUCAGCGAAGUCGGAAAAGAGGCCAUACGGCUUCAGAAUCUGAUGAACAGCAGUGGCCUGAGGAAAAGAGGCUCAAAGAAGAUAUAUUAGAAAAUGAAGAUGAACAGAAUAGUCCACCAAAAAAGGGUAAGAGAGGCCGACCACCAAAACCUCUUGGUGGAGGUACACCAAAAGAAGAGCCAACAAUGAAAACUUCUAAAAAAGGAAGCAAAAAAAAAUCUGGACCUCCAGCACCAGAAGAGGAGGAAGAAGAAGAAAGACAAAGUGGAAAUACAGAACAGAAGUCCAAAAGCAAACAGCACCGAGUGUCAAGGAGAGCACAGCAGAGAGCAGAAUCUCCUGAAUCUAGUGCAAUUGAAUCCACACAGUCCACACCACAGAAAGGACGAGGAAGACCAUCAAAAACGCCAUCACCAUCACAACCAAAAAAAAAUGUGUAAGUUGUAAAUAUUACAUUUCAAACCAAUUUCAAAUUAUUUUGCAAAAGUUCCAAAUUCAUAAACAUACAUAUUGCUGUAUUUAAAUUCCAUAUAUUUAACCACAUUACACUAGGUAAGAUAAAAUUUUUAUAAACUUACCUUAGUGAUUGAUAUCUCAAUAAACUAUUUUGUACAUUUUUAAAGGUGUAGGCAAAUCUUUAUAACUGAAUACCAAAUAGUAUAUUAUUUCCUAUACAGACUUUAUGAUAUCUAAAGAAGUGAUAAGGUAUUUUUAAAUAAUCACCACACAUUGACCAGGUUGCCUUGUCAUUCC
rnacentral:sRNA from 1 species